CCAAUUACAAGGUAUACCAUGGAUAUACCGAAAAUAUACACUGAGUAUACACAAAAUGUACAAGUCUAUACAAAGCUAAAUCAUGUAGUUUCUCUUAUCUCAACACACCCCCUCAAGUUGGAGGGGCAAACCACCUGCAACUUGGUGAGCAGCGGAAGAAGCAAAGUGCUAGGCAGUGGCUUAGUGAGCAGGUCGGCCAGCUGACGAGAAGUAGGCACAUGAAACAGCUUGAGAAAACCAGAUUGUAGCAAGUCUCGAACAAAAUGGCAGUCCACCUCGAUAUGUUUGGUACGUUCAUGAAAAACGGGAUUGUUAGCAAUAUGAACAGCAGCCUGACUAUCACAAUAUACAUAAAUAGGAGAAGAAACAGAUACCCCAAGGUCAACCAACAAACGAGAAAGCCAAGUCAACUCAGGCCUGACUAUCACAAUAUACAGAAAUAGGAGAAGAAACAGAUACCCCAAGGUCAACCAACAAACGAGAAAUCCAAGUCAACUCAGCAACAACCUUGCUAAGGGCUCGAUAUUCUGCCUCAGCAGAGGAUAGAGAAACAACAGGCUGUUUCUUCGAUUUCCAACUGAUCAAACAGCCACCCAAAAGCACACAAAAACCAGUAACAGAUCGCCUAGUAUCAGGGGAAGCAGCCCAGUCACUAUCGGAAUACCCAGUAACAGAAAAAUCAGCAUGAGCAGAAUAAAACAAUCCCAAGGAGGGAGUGCCCUUAUGGUAUCUCAGAACAUGCAGGGCAGCAGUCAUAUGGGGAAGUCUGGGGCAUUUGAGGAAUUGACUCAGAUGCUAGACUGCAAAACAAAUGUCAGGCCUAGUAUGAGUCAGGAACAGCAUCUUGCCAACUAGACUCGUGUACUGGUCAGGAGAGGGCAAGAUGUCACCAGAAUCAGCAUGAAGUUUGACAUUGAUGUCCA
rnacentral:lncRNA from 1 species